rnacentral:lncRNA from 1 species
UUGCAUGAAGGAAGAUUUAAUUGUAUUGCAUAACAAAGAAGAAAGAUUACAGAAUUUGGAGAACGGAAAUUAAAAACAAUAGAAAUUAAAAACUUUAGCAUAAAUAGAUCUCUCUAUUAAACUAAAACUAAAAAUCCCAAGACAACAUGCUCUCAAAAUAAAACUCUUACUAAAAACAUUGCUCUCAAUCAAAAUAAAAAUAAA